UUUUGGCAUGUCCUGAUUUUUCUCGUAUCACCUCAGCCGCCUCCCUCUCGCCUCACGGAAAGAAAGCACGCACCCACCUAGCACUAUCCCCAUCACGAUCUGGCCGCCGCCCCAAUGAUCGACAUCGCAUUCGGCGCCGCCCGUCCCCUCCCUCUCCCGUCUCGCGCUUCUGUCUUCAAUCUCCCGUCGGACGUGCUUGUGCCUCCCAUCUCGCAUCGGCGACCACUCGCCAGCGACGCCCCGAGGCCACCGACGCGGGGAACGAAGGAUUGGUUGCCGCUGUUCGGAGCUACUUCGUCGAUGUCGCCAAUGGGGGCUUUGGCAAGUGCUCCUGGCCUUCCGCCGCCACCGCCGGGCCUGCUUAUCGGGACGCCGUCGAAUCCUCUGUCGCCAGCCCACGUCCCAGUUCUCCCCUUCCUCUCAUAGUUCAUCUAGCCCCUACAUCCUCCUCUGAUUCUCCAGGUUAGUCGCGAGGGACUCAUAAUCUGCAAGUUCCUGAUUUCGAAUUGUUUGUGUGUUGUUGUGUUGCAGGCACUUCACGGAUGAGAUUUUCUCAUGUUGUUCUUGCCUCCUCAUGUGGUGCCACCUCCUCACGUCGUGCAGCCUCCACAGUCCACACGCGAAGCCACCGAGGUCGGAAUCAGACGUGCCAGUCCAUGCAUCACGUUCUCAUGCCAUGCCCAAGCCAGCAGGAGCGGCAGCAACAACAGGGUGUCGUACAUUGACCUGGAGGUUGUCCCGAGGGGCACAACACCGCCAGUGGAGAUGUAUCAGGUGAAGAAGGAGGACAUGGGGACGAAGGUGGUGGUGUGGUAGAUGGCGGAGGUGGACAAGAUGAAAAAUUGGUUCGAGAGGGGGGUGGUUGUCAUCAACGACUGGGAGACGGAGCAAGUAGACAAGGCCUUUGCCUGGCUCCACAAGAUUGAGGUUCACUUUGGAAUUUGUCUCGCUUUGAUGGAGCUUGAAUUCUUCACCACACUACGACUGAUAUUCCUGGAAUUUGUGAUCACAAUGUGUGCUUCCAUUGUCAUGCAGCUCAGCCUAGGACUGAGCACGGAUGCCACUGUGUAUUGCUAAAAUUUACAGGAAAUGCAGAAAAUAGAGUUACAGCAAGUGAGCAAUGCACAGUUCCCAAAAUGUGUACCGCAUUGUUAUCGAGAUAAUUAUAUGUUGUUGUAUGGAGAGAAUUUGAGUGGGAGUGAUUGCAGCAUUGGGAGAAGGCACGCGAUACAUCCUGUUGGCACCCUCAAAAAAUGGCUUUAGAGUCUAAGGUAUAAUGACAGGGAAUAAGGUGUAGGAUCGUUUCCUAGAAAAUUCUAUUCAAUUUACAUGGUUGUGAACCAUAGAGUUUCUUAUUUUAUUUAAGGAUUUUGACGCAUGGAUGUUCUGUCUUCCAUUAUACUCCCAUCGUUCCUAAAUAUAAGUCAUUUAGACAUUCCAAUACGGACUACAUAUACGGAGCAAAAUAAGUGAGUCUACACUCUAAAAUGCGUUUAUAUAGAUCCGUAUGUAGUUUGUAUUGAAAUCUCUAAAAAGCAUUAUAUUUACGAACGGAGGGAGUAAUUUGCUGCUCCUCUUGUAAUCUAUGGGACUAUGAAAGAGUUUCUUGCUAUUUUGCUUCUCUGAUGACGCUUUCCCAACAAGCUUUAUCACCAUCGUUGGGCAUGCACAUCGUUAGCAACACAGUACAUGGUUCUCCAGGAACCAUUUGCUUACUUAGUAAUAUUUCUGUUCAUAUUAUAUGAUGAUAUGCUUGAUAUGCUUUCCUUGUGUGAUCAUUGCGUGGGCUGGGUGCGGAUAACAUUGGCCGUUACCUAAUACAUUGGCCUGACCGGUCAGUACAAUGAAUUUAUUCCAUUCCAGUGGCUGCAACUGCCUUGUUUUUGUUUUUUGCCUGCAUCAUGUGCAUCCUCGAGUCCUAAUAUAACUCAUGCUUACCCUGUAGUUAUGUUCCCCUGUUUGGAGAGAUGGAAUACAAUCUUAGCUGCAAGUACACGCUGUACGUAUAGAAGAACAACUAGAGGCACUUGAAAAAUCUUGUGUAAUUGGUAUUGUGCUAUGAAAAGGUAUUCCCUGUGUAAACUUUUUGAAGACAUUUUAGGUGACAACUUAUAAAAGUUUACAAAGGGAGUAUAUUCUAUGCCUACUUCGAAUUGUACGCAAUGAUAACCCUUUCUUCAGAAAAACCCUUUCUGGUGUUUGUACCUUCAGUGUGAGUUAUAACAAUAUAUGUUGUACCAUGCCAUUAAAUAUUUAUCACUACUUAUGUUCCAUAUUCACCCUAAAACUUCUCUAAAGUUACUAAACUUUCUCGUGUUUUCUGAAGCUACCAUGUAUCCCCUUGCCUAAAAUUUGACUGAUAGCCAGAUGUGCCAUUAAGGACGAUGAUCAGUUUGGAAUGAGGAGUGGAGAUAGUGAUGAAGAAGAUGAAGAAGGGUCAUUUAUAACAUGAAACUAUAGUUGACAUUGUUCAAUGUGCUCUUAGAGAUAUACAUGUUUCACAUGAUUUGUUAUGUCCCGUUGCAACGCACGGGCAAUUAACUAGUAUAUGAAUAAUAUCUUUUAUGGUCAUGCACCCUUGAUGAGUGGUCUAUUUUUACUAAAUCUUGAUAGUAAUGAUACACAUAUUCAUAGUAUU